rnacentral:rRNA from 1 species
UACAGAGGGUGCAAGCGUUGUUCGGAAUUAUUGGGCGUAAAGCGCGUGUAGGCGGUGGCGCAAGUCGGGUGUGAAAUCCCUCAGCUUAACUGAGGAAGUGCGCCCGAAACUGCGCCGCUCGAGUACCAGAGAGGAUGGCGGAAUUCCCCAAGUAGAGGUGAAAUUCGUAGAUAUGGGGAGGAACACCGGUGGCGAAGGCGGCCAUCUGGAUGGAUACUGACGCUGAGACGCGAAAGCGUGGGUAGCAAACAG